AUCUUUGAAACCGACAGAAAAACAGCAAAAGAUAUUAGAAGAGCUUUAUCGUAAUACGUGAAGUCUUGCUUGAGAAUGCUCUAGGCACUUGGUUGUAGAAGGAAGAAUGGAAAUUACAAUAACAAAAUCUUAAUUCUAAUAGAAUAGUAAUAAUACUAUAAUUAGAUCAUAAUAAUGGUAAGCAAGCUUAAUCAAAUUCAAAAAACCUCAAAGAAAUUUCAAACAAACAAUAAGAAUUCUUAAAGAAAUAUUAGAAGGAUCACAAAUAUCACUCAAAUACAUCUCAAUUCAAUCUUAAUUUAAUUCUAAUUAAAAUCCUAUUGAACUUCAUUCAAACUUUAGGCCAAAACUAAUUGAAUCUUAAAUCCUAAUAAAAUCCUAAAUCCUGAAUCAAAUCCUAAAUAAACCUUAAACCAAAUCCCAACCAAAUUCUAAACCAAAUCCUAAAUCCUAAAUCAAACUCUAACUAAAUCCUAAUCCAAAUCCCAAACCAUUAAUCAAACCCUAAACCCUUAAUCAAAUCCUAACCAAAUCCUAAAUCCUAAACCAAACCCUAACUAAAUCCUAAACCCUAAAUCAAACCCGAAUCAAAUCCUAAUCUAAACCCUAAAUCCUAAACCAAAUCAUAAUCAAAUCCUAAAUCCUACAUAAACCUCAAUCUAAUCCUAAACCAAAUCCUAAACCGUAAACCUAAACCAAAUCCUAGUAAUUCCUAUAACAGUUUUAAAUC
rnacentral:lncRNA from 1 species